GCCGCGGCGACACCUGUCUUAAUCAGCAUCCCCGAACGACUAAAACGAUGACGUGAAUCAAUACAGCUGAGGACUGACGAUGACGUAAAUGAAGGUGAGAUAAAGCAGCGCCGAGCCAAAGGGCGCCUCACGCACCGGACACGUGGGUUGGCGCCCCCGAGAGCGCUCUCCCCGAGACGGACGUAUAUAAACCGGCGUCCGCCUCGCUACCGCCGUCAGUUGGUCUCGCCACGCACUCUCGACUAGACACGCACCACGCACACGCAUCCCCGUUGACAACCCUUUCGCGCUCGCUUCGGUCUGACAGGAGUCCUUGCUUUCCCCCGUCACUCUGCUUGUGGGAGGAGCUUAGUCCACGCAGGAGAAGGACCACCGGUUGCUGCAAGUGACUUAGAAGAAGCAACACACGAGAAGUUAAGAAGAAGAAGAAGCUAAGGUUCUCAAGAUGCCGAGCGAGACCCAAAGCCGCCAGGACAGUGUGAAGCCCAUGAUCACCUUCAGUUCCUUCGAGGAGGAGGAAUUCGGCCCCGAGGAGGAGGUCGACGCCGCGGGGACGAGGAGUGCCAGGAAGGGGACCCUGAGGAAGACCAACUCCUUGAUAGUGCCAUCCUUCGACCUCGAGCAGGAGGCCAAGAGACCCCCGCUCUAAGCCCGGGGAGAGAGUGCCAUUCCUCAAACCUCAUCCUUGCAAUGAUGCAGCGAACUCCGUCUCUGCAACCAAGGAGGAACGUCCAGCAGCGGGGCUUCAGUAGGAUACGUAGGACAUCUACUGCAGGUCUCGAAGGCAACAAUACUUCGCAGGACGAACUUUGUUGGCGACGCCUUAGUUGUGCAUUGAUGGAGACCACGUCAUUGUGUCGAUCUGUGAUAUGUCAUUUGUAUCCCAUUAUAUCUAUGUCAUCACAUCAUGUAUUUAGGAUUAAGGAAGCUGUUUUAAACUGAAAGGAUAUGGGCUAUCAUUAGCCACGUUUUCAGUUGUUUUAUUCAAAUAUUGGUAUUUAGAAACGUGAAUGUGAAAUAGGAUAUCUUUUUCUUGGUCAAAGAAAUGUAAGUUUGAUAUUUCAGAAACCAAUAAGAAAUUUGAAGCUAAUCAUGACAAAAUUAUUCAACUAAAAUAUCAAAAUGAAAGAAUAAACAAAUCUUACUGA
rnacentral:lncRNA from 1 species